GGGUUGUGAGGUUAAGCGACUAAGCGUACACGGUGGAUGCCCUGGCAGUCAGAGGCGAUGAAGGACGUGCUAAUCUGCGAAAAGCGUCGGUAAGGUGAUAUGAACCGUUAUAACCGGCGAUGUCCGAAUGGGGAAACCCAGUGCAAUUCGUUGCACUAUCGUUAACUGAAUACAUAGGUUAACGAGGCGAACCGGGGGAACUGAAACAUCUAAGUACCCCGAGGAAAAGAAAUCAACCGAGAUUCCCCCAGUAGCGGCGAGCGAACGGGGAGCAGCCCAGAGUCUGAAUCAGCUUGUGUGUUAGUGGAACGGUCUGGAAAGUCCGACGGUACAGGGUGAUAGUCCCGUACACCAAAAUGCACAGGUUGUGAACUCGAAGAGUAGGGCGGGACACGUGGUAUCCUGUCUGAAUAUGGGGGGACCAUCCUCCAAGGCUAAAUACUCCUGACUGACCGAUAGUGAACCAGUACCGUGAGGGAAAGGCGAAAAGAACCCCGGCGAGGGGAGUGAAAAAGAACCUGAAACCGUGUACGUACAAGCAGUGGGAGCACCUUCGGGUGUGACUGCGUACCUUUUGUAUAAUGGGUCAGCGACUUAUAUUCUGUAGCAAGGUUAACCGUAUAGGGGAGCCGCAGGGAAACCGAGUCUUAACUGGGCGUUAAGUUGCAGGGUAUAGACCCGAAACCCGGUGAUCUAGCCAUGGGCAGGUUGAAGGUUGGGUAACACUAACUGGAGGACCGAACCGACUAAUGUUGAAAAAUUAGCGGAUGACUUGUGGCUGGGGGUGAAAGGCCAAUCAAACCGGGAGAUAGCUGGUUCUCCCCGAAAGCUAUUUAGGUAGCGCCUCGUGAAUUCAUCUUCGGGGGUAGAGCACUGUUUCGGCUAGGGGGUCAUCCCGACUUACCAACCCGAUGCAAACUACGAAUACCGAAGAAUGUUAUCACGGGAGACACACGGCGGGUGCUAACGUCCGUCGUGAAGAGGGAAACAACCCAGACCGCCAGCUAAGGUCCCAAAGUCAUGGUUAAGUGGGAAACGAUGUGGGAAGGCACAGACAGCCAGGAUGUUGGCUUAGAAGCAGCCAUCAUUUAAAGAAAGCGUAAUAGCUCACUGGUCGAGUCGGCCUGCGCGGAAGAUGUAACGGGGCUAAACCAUGCACCGAAGCUGCGGCAGCGACACUAUGUGUUGUUGGGUAGGGGAGCGUUCUGUAAGCCUGCGAAGGUGUGCUGUGAGGCAUGCUGGAGGUAUCAGAAGUGCGAAUGCUGACAUAAGUAACGAUAAAGCGGGUGAAAAGCCCGCUCGCCGGAAGACCAAGGGUUCCUGUCCAACGUUAAUCGGGGCAGGGUGAGUCGACCCCUAAGGCGAGGCCGAAAGGCGUAGUCGAUGGGAAACAGGUUAAUAUUCCUGUACUUGGUGUUACUGCGAAGGGGGGACGGAGAAGGCUAUGUUAGCCGGGCGACGGUUGUCCCGGUUUAAGCAUGUAGGCUGGUU
rnacentral:rRNA from 1 species